rnacentral:rRNA from 1 species
AUACGGAGGAUCCGAGCGUUAUCCGGAUUUAUUGGGUUUAAAGGGUGCGCAGGCGGCCAUUUAAGUCAGCGGUUAAAUCGUGGGGCUCAACCCCAUUCUGCCGUUGAUACUGGGUGGCUUGAUUGCGGUCGAGGUUGGCGGAAUUCGUUGUGUAGCGGUGAAAUGCAUAGAUAUGACGAAGAACACCGAUUGCGUAGGCAGCUGACCAGACCGCAAAUGACGCUCAUGCACGAAAGUGCGGGGAUCGAACAGGAUUAGAUACCCUGGUAGUCCGCACAGUAAACGAUGAAUACUUGUUUUCGGUGAUAUAAUGUCGGAGGCAAAGCGAAAGCGAUAAGUAUUCCACCUGGGGAGUACGCCGGCAACGGUGAAACUCAAAUGAAUGGACGGGG